CAACUACUCCCUCUGUCCCAAAUUUCUUGUCUUAGAUUUGUCUAGAUAUGGAUGUAUCUAAUACUAAAAUGUGACUUGAUACAUCCGUAUCUAGACAAAUCUAAGACAAAAAUUUUGGGACGGAGGGAGUACUUU
rnacentral:pre_miRNA from 1 species